rnacentral:rRNA from 1 species
CAGUAGCCACGGUAAUACGAAGGGUGCAAGCGUUACUCGGAAUUACUGGGCGUAAAGCGUGCGUAGGUGGUGGUUUAAGUCCGUUGUGAAAGCCCUGGGCUCAACCUGGGAAUUGCAGUGGAUACUGGGUCACUAGAGUGUGGUAGAGGAUAGUGGAAUUUCCGGUGUAGCAGUGAAAUGCGUAGAGAUCGGAAGGAACAUCUGUGGCGAAGGCGACUAUCUGGGCCAACACUGACACCGAGGCACGAAAGCGUGGGGAGCAAACAGAAUUAGAUACCCGAGUAGUCCCUGUCUCUUAUAC